GAUGAACGCUGGCGGCGUGCCUAAUACAUGCAAGUCGAGCGAACGGACGAGAAGCUUGCUUCUCUGAUGUUAGCGGCGGACGGGUGAGUAACACGUGGAUAACCUACCUAUAAGACUGGGAUAACUUCGGGAAACCGGAGCUAAUACCGGAUAAUAUUUUGAACCGCAUGGUUCAAAAGUAAAAGACGGUCUUGCUGCCACUUAUAGAUGGAUCCGCGCUGCAUUAGCUAGUUGGUAAGGUAACGGCUUACCAAGGCAACGAUGCAUAGCCGACCUGAGAGGGUGAUCGGCCACACUGGAACUGAGACACGGUCCAGACUCCUACGGGAGGCAGCAGUAGGGAAUCUUCCGCAAUGGGCGAAAGCCUGACGGAGCAACGCCGCGUGAGUGAUGAAGGUCUUCGGAUCGUAAAACUCUGUUAUUAGGGAAGAACAUAUGUGUAAGUAACUGUGCACAUCUUGACGGUACCUAAUCAGAAAGCCACGGCUAACUACGUG
rnacentral:rRNA from 1 species